rnacentral:lncRNA from 1 species
AAAUAAUCCCGUUUUGAUUGUCACUUAAAUUGGAAAAACUCCCUUAUAUACCCUUUUACGGGGGUGUAAGGUAAAAGGAGGUGUGACAGCACUGGCGACUCUGCUGGGGAUCAGAACCCAGAACUUCUGGUUCAGGGUUCAAGAAUUCGAGCUUAUUUAUUGGCCCUUUUACGGGGGUGUAAGGUAAAAGGAGGUGUGACAGCACUGGCGAGACUCUGCUGGGGAUCAGAACCCAGAACUUCUGGUUCAGGGUUCAAGAAUUCGAGCUUAUUUAUUGGCUUUAUUUAGUAUCUGAUUUUAUUGCAUGUUUGAGCUUAAUGUGCUAAAUGCCGCUUUUUACCGCUUUGAUAUUAUUUGAAUAGUAUAUAAACUGUUACGAAACCCUUCUCUUCUCAUCUUCGGGGAUGUGCAUGCUGGCGUGACUCCUCUUUCUGUUAGUGUCCUACCUUGAAAUAAGAAAGAGGCUCGGACAAGUUACAAAGCCGGAUGGCCUUUUGGUUCCCGGUACGUAGCCCCCUCCUCGGCUCGAGUUGUCCGCUCGAGUACACAAGUCUAGAACAAUAUACCCAGAUUUUUAGCUUAGAAUAACUCAGCCUCAUGCCGGAUCCCUAGUAGGAACGUUUGUUUGUAUCAUGUGCAUUUGACUUUGGGGACUCAACACAGGGGUUGGGUCCGUCUAGGACAGGUGCACCCAAAUUAAAAGACCCAUCCUGAUACAUCUUACGUGCUACUUGCGUAUCUGUCUAUUUCGGUUUGCAUGCUGACUGGCUUCUAGAAUAGGGAAAGAAAAUUAAAAAAAAUGAAAAUCAAAAAAAAAAAGAGUGAGAGGUAGGUAUUUAGAAAAUUCUGAAACUCUGCCGAAGUUCUGAAAAAAAAAAGAAA